GAAACAUCUUGAUCCUUGGAUUGGUUUGCAGCAGUAACUCCCUCCACACUCCCAUGUAUGUCUUACUUUGUAACUUGUCUUUAUCAGAAGUAUUCUUCACCACUACAACAACCCCCAACAUGAUGCACCUCAUGCUAAAUGAUAUUAAAAAAAUGUCUCUAGCAGGUUGCUUGAUCCAGUUUUAUCUAUUUGCAUCUCUUGCAACUACUGAUUGC